CUCAGCAUCACAGAGCAUCCUUAGACAACGCGGAGACCAGACUGCAAAGACACCUCACUGCUUGGAGCUCAGUCAUCACAUCAUGAACCCCAAAAUCUUAUAUAAAUAC